GAGGUCGUAACCGCUGCUCAUGAAAACUGAUAUAAAAUCAGAAAAUUAUACAGCACGGGUUUUGAUGAAUUCGCGUGUGAUGACCUAGGUCAUCUCAUCGAUGAAUGUUAAUAAACGAGUUAGAGUCGCUAUAUCAAGUGACAACCGCUCAUUUGUAGCCAUAUUUGGAUUUUUUUUUGAUGAAUUUUAAUCUUCAUUAUUUCUUCUUCGCAAGUGGAUUCUUUCCUUUUCCUUUGUGGUAAACGUUAAAUCUUUUGCUCCAGUUACUUUAGGUCUACUAUUGGUAUUGCCCUUAGUGUUCCAGUU